AAGAGCAGAGGGGUUUGGUGAAUAUAAAUAGACAUUUUGUAGAGGAGCAGGAGCUGAUACUUCCGAAUUCAAAUCAGUGUCGUGAAGCUGGGAAAGAUUAUCAACAUCCGAAGCUACAGAUGAGCUAAGACGUCUCGCAAAUCUUGAGGGACGCUCAGGUUUCUCAAUGGUUGUAGUAAUCCGGUCAGGAUCAAAAUCAGGAAAUAGUUCAGGACCAAGCUUGUUAAUCAGGUCCGUAACUUCUGCAACCAAUUGCUUUCUUUCAUCCUUUAAAAUAUAUACAGCAUUUGCCUUUGAGGGUAUCAGAGCAAGAAAUAAAGGUCUAAUAGAUUUGUAUAUAUCCACAGCGACUUCACCAAACCUUAGGGCUGCGUAAGUAACCAUUGGAAAAAGAAAGGUAGAAAUAAUUGGGACAGUAUAAACAAAUAUACUUGAAUGAGGAAUGAGCUU